rnacentral:rRNA from 1 species
CAAGAGCGUAUAUUAAAGUUGUUGCAGUUAAAAAGCUCGUAGUUGAACUUCUGGUCAAGCGUGACCUUGGCUUCGGUCGAGGCAGGCAUGGCCAUCCGUCAGAAAACCAGGGAGGGUCUUAAGUGAUCGCUCUGGGGAUCUGACACUUUACUUUGAAAAAACUAGAGUGUUCAUGGCAGGCUAACGCCCUGAAUACACAAGCAUGGAAUAAUAGAAUAGGACUGGGUCCAUUUUGUUGGUUAUUGGACGCAGUGAUGAUAAUAGGGACAGUUGGGGGCAUUAGUAUUUAAUUGUCAGAGGUGAAAUUCUUGGAUUAUUAAAGAACUGACUUAUUGCGAAGCAAUUUUGCCAAGGAUGUUUUCAUUGAUCAAGAACGAAAGUUAGGGGAUCAAAGACGAUU